ACCAGAAUGGCUGAGUGGUUAAGGCGUUGGACUCAAGUCCCAGUAGGCAUGAGCCUGCGUGGGUUCGAGUCCCGCUUCUGAUA